rnacentral:rRNA from 1 species
UACGUAGGGGGCAAGCGUUGUCCGGAUUUAUUGGGCGUAAAGAGCGUGUAGGCGGCCAGGUAGGUCUGCUGUGAAAACUCGAGGCUCAACCUCGAGACGUCGGCGGAAACCAUCUGGCUAGAGUCCGGAAGAGGAGAGUGGAAUUCCUGGUGUAGCGGUGAAAUGCGCAGAUAUCAGGAGGAACACCGGUGGCGAAGGCGGGUCUCUGGGCCGAUAUUGACGCUGAGGAGCGAAAGCGUGGGGAGCGAACAGG